AAUUGGUCCUCUCGCAACGAUUCGCUGUGAACCCCGCCAGGCCCGGAAGGGAGCAACGGUAGCAGUUUGAUCGUGUGCCGGGAUGUGGCUGGUUGGG
rnacentral:SRP_RNA from 1 species